rnacentral:rRNA from 1 species
GACGAACCGAGCGACCGUUAUUCGGAAUCACUGGGCUUAAAGGGUGCGUAGGCGGGCCCGUCAGUCAGGGGUGAAAUCCCACGGCCCAACCGUGGAAGUGCCUCUGAUACUGCGGGCCUGGAGGGGGAUAGGGGCGUGCGGAACUUCCGGUGGAGCGGUGAAAUGCGUAGAUAUCGGAAGGAACACCGGUGGCGAAAGCGGCGCGCUGGAUCCCUACUGACGCUGAGGCACGAAAGCCAGGGGAGCAAACGGG